GAGUUUGAUCUUGGCUCAGGAUGAACGCCGGCGGUGUGCCUAAUACAUGCAAGUCGUACGCACUGGCCCAACUGAUUGAUGGUGCUUGCACCUGAUUGACGAUGGAUCACCAGUGAGUGGCGGACGGGUGAGUAACACGUAGGUAACCUGCCCCGGAGCGGGGAUAACAUUUGGAAACAGAUGCUAAUACCGCAUAACAACAAAGGCCACAUGGCUUUUGUUUGAAAGAUGGCUUUGGCCAUCACUCUGGGAUGGACCUGCGGUGCAUUAGCUAGUUGGUAAGGUAACGGCUUACCAAGGCGAUGAUGUAUAGCCGAGUUGAGAGACUGAUCGGCCACAAUGGAACUGAGACACGGUCCAUACUCCUACGGGAGGCAGCAGUAGGGAAUCUUCCACAAUGGGCGCAAGCCUGAUGGAGCAACACCGCGUGAGUGAAGAAGGGUUUCGGCUCGUAAAGCUCUGUUGUUGGAGAAGAACGUGCGUGAGAGUAACUGUU
rnacentral:rRNA from 1 species